rnacentral:rRNA from 1 species
CAGUCGCCGCGGUAAUACGUAGGUGGCAAGCGUCGUCCGGAAUUAUUGGGCGUAAAGCGCGCGCAGGUGGUUUAAUAAGUCUGAUGUGAAAGCCCACGGCUCAACCGUGGAGGGUCAUUGGAAACUGUUAAACUUGAGUGCAGGAGAGAAAAGUGGAAUUCCUAGUGUAGCGGUGAAAUGCGUAGAGAUUAGGAGGAACACCAGUGGCGAAGGCGGCUUUUUGGCCUGUAACUGACACCGAGGCGCGAAAGCGUGGGGAGCAAACAGGAUUAGAUACCCCUGUAGUCCCUGUCUCUUAUAC